rnacentral:lncRNA from 1 species
UAGAUGAAAGCCUUGGGCGUGUUUGAGCCUGUUUCAUCUGGAAAAGGUUUUUGAUGGUGGUGAUGUUAGGUAGGUAGGUGUGUGUGUGUGUGUGUGUGUGUGUGUGUGUGUGUGUGUGUGUUUGGACAGACUUGUCUCAGCCUCCUGAGUGCUGAGAUUAUAGGCAUGUGCUUUCAUGCCUGAUUUUACCCGAAAGAAAUUUAAAAGACAAAUUUAGUCCUCCUUGAUUAAGCAUAAAAAGUACUGGUCUCCACAGGGGCCGGGCUGCAUCCUUUCCUAGAGGCUUUCUUUCUUAACACACAUUUAUUAAGAUCAAACCUGAAUAAAACUACAUGUUAAUUUUAAAAAAUACACAUGUCUUUAUUUUCUAAGUUUUAGUAUUAAAAUACAAUUUAAAGAGUAUAUUAUAAACCUUACUGAUAAGUAUACAUGCGUGCCUCUGUUAUUGGAAAUGGUACAAGAGUGGAAAAUAAGGGACCGUUCUUACAAACUUCUCAUUUAGUAUCAAUUUAGCUGGGGGGUUGCCAUGUGGCUAUAAAUGAUAGAAUACAGAAAGUAUAUUGUAUUUAUGUGUGCCUUUCAUUUACAUACAGUAUGUAGAAAAUUUGUGUUGCCAUCAGUUAUUUGGUGAACCAUUAUUAAAAAGUAUUGAGACAGUUUAAGAUUAUAAAUUUUUAAUUAUUUUAUCAGUUCAAAAGUAAAUGUUGUCCUGCUUCCUGUCAGCUGUUCAUUUGUUAGGAUUCUUUGUGUCUCGUCACUGCUUCAAAUCUAGGUUUCUUUUCCCUCUCUGGGGUCAAAGAAUCCCUUGGAAGGGAUCAGUUUUGCUUCUGUUUGUUUGAUAUGAGCUUUCCCAUAUUAUAACAUUUAAAAAAUUUUAUUUUGAAAAGGUAGUAGCAUAUAAUCUAAAAUAUAGAAAUUAUUUAAAAGUUGACUAUUAGCUAAUUUUCUAAUAAUGGAUAUGUAAUUAAUCUCAUGCUAACAUAACAUGCUUUUCAUGUUAUGAAACUGUUUCAGCGUGGGACUUGGGGAGUUCACUUUGGAGUUAGACAACUGUAGCCACGCAUUUGUGUUUUCCUCUACUGUGAGGGUUCUCCAUAUACCUGUGCCUGUAAAACACGGGGCCAUAAGGUCUGGGUUGUUCCCUGACAUUGAAUUUCUUAGUUUUCAUUAUGAGAAUGCCUUAAGCAGGAAUAGCAAGCUGUGUUUAACAAGAUGAAGAAACCAGACAUUGGCUUGCCUGUUGUUCUUGGCCAGUAGUUUCUGUGGCAGCUCCCAUUGAUUGAUUGAUGGUUGGAAUGGUUCACGGAGUCACAGAAUUCUAGAUUUUGAGAACUCAAAUGUGUGCCACCAGCAAGAGCAACUGACCUGUGUGGUUGGGUGCCAGUACAAAAGUCAGCACUGUGGUAUGACCUAAAUUAACUGAACUUCUGUUGCAUGUCUCUUGUGAAUAUAUCUUUUGUAAUUUGUCAAAGUCCUACUUGGUACAGUACAGUUGUGGUGAAUUUGACUAUUGUUUUAAAUGUAUUGCUAGAGUGACUGUGAACAAAGGAAAAAAAUAAAAGCCCAUCUCGACGUUGAAAACAUCCUAAUAAAAUGCACAUAAUAAACUCUUCCUAAACUCCU